UUGCAAGUUCGAGCGGAGCACAGGACAUCUUGCUGUCUGCGUGGCCAGUGGGGUACGGGAGGCGAAUACGUCUGACUCUACUCUGUCGUGAGGGAUAACUUACGGAAACUUACACUAAUACCGCAUACGACCUACGGGUGAAAGCUCGGGAUCUUCCGACCUUGCUCAUGUGACUGAGCCGAUGUCGCAUUAUCUAGUUGGCAAGGUAUACGCCCACCACGGCCACUAUCCGUACCUGGACUAAGAGGAUGAUCACUGACACUGAAACUGAGACCCGAUCCAUACUCCAACCGGCGGCGGCAAUGAGUAAUAUUGGACCAUGGGCGCGAGCCUGAUCCGCCCCUACCGCGUGGAUGGAGAACGCCUUCGGGUUGUAUAUCCCUUUUGUUGGAAAACAAAUCGAGAUGGCUAUGACCCUGUUGGGAUGCCGGUACACAAAGAAUAAUCACCGGUCAACUACGUGCCAGCAGCCACGGUAAUACUAAGGGCGCAAGCGUUAAUCGCAAUUACUGAGCGUAGAGCGUCCGUAGCUGGUCGUUGGAUUUCGUUGAGAAAACCUCGGGCUCAUCAUCGGAACUGCAGCGGAUACUGGGCGACUAGAGUGUUGUAGAGGGUGGCGGAAUUCCUGGUGUAGCAGUGAAAUGCGUAGAGAUCAGGAGGAACAUCCAUAGUGAAGGCAGCUACCUGGACCAACACUGACACUGAGGCGGUAAAGAGUGGGGAGCAAACAGCAUUAUAUACCCUCGUAGUACUCCCCCUAAUAGAUGAGAUCGGGAUGUUGGGAGCAUUUGGCAAUCAGUAUGGAAGAUAACGCGUUAAAUUUGCCCCCUGGGGAGUACGGUCGCAAGAGUGAAAAUCAAAAGAAUUGACGGGGGGCCCCGACACACGGUGGAGUAUGUGGUUUAAUUUGAUGCAACGCGAAGAACCUUUCCUGGCCUUGACAUGUCGAGAACUUUCCAGAGAUGGAUGGGUGCCUUUUGGAACUCUAACACAGGUGUUGCAUGGCUGUGUUCAGAUCGUGUCUUGAGAUGUUGGGUUAAGUCCCGCAACGAGCGCACACCCUGUCUCUAGUUUCCACCACGUAUUGGUGGGACCUUUAAGGAGACCGCCGGUGACAAACCGGAGGAAGGUGGGGAAGACGUCAAGUCAUCAUGGCCCUUACGGCCCGGGGUACCCACGUACUACAAUGGUAGGGACAGAGGGGUGCAAACCGGCGACGGUAAGCCAAUUCCAGAAACCCUAUUUCAGUCCGGAUGGAGUUUGCAACUUGACUCCAGAAGUUGG
rnacentral:rRNA from 1 species